UAGGGAAUCUUCGGCAAUGGGGGGAACCCUGACCGAGCAACGCCGCGUGAGUGAAGAAGGUUUUCGGAUCGUAAAGCUCUGUUGUUAAGGAAGAACGAGUGUGAGAAUGGAAAGUUCAUGCUGUGACGGUACUUAACCAGAAAGGGACGGCUAACUACGUGCCAGCAGCCGCGGUACUACGUAGGUCCCGAGCGUUGUCCGGAUUUAUUGGGCGUAAAGCGAGCGCAGGCGGUCAAUUAAGUCUGAUGUGAAAGCCCCCGGCUCAACCGGGGAGGGUCAUUGGAAACUGGUUGACUUGAGUGCAGAAGAGGAGAGUGGAAUUCCAUGUGUAGCGGUGAAAUGCGUAGAUAUAUGGAGGAACACCAGUGGCGAAGGCGACUCUCUGGUCUGUAACUGACGCUGAGGCUCGAAAGCGUGGGUAGCAAACAGG
rnacentral:rRNA from 1 species